GUGGCGACACACCCAGGACAGGCCCCGGGGCCCUCCGCAGCGCUGGCGCCGAGCUGAUGACGUAAAAGGGUCAGGCCCGCGGGGCGGAGCUAUUGGGUUUCACCGCCGGACUUCAGUGGCUGCGCGAGCGUUUGUCUUUUCUCCCAGCGCAGCGGACUAGAUUAACGGCGCCAGAGACACCCUGCGGAAGGAGCCGGGGAUAUUGACUAGAGGAGAGCAAGCGGAGGCCGUUGGCGGGUCCUGCGAGCUCCGCUGUGUGCCAAGCCUACUCGACCCUGGAGAAACAGUAGAAAAAAGAUGCGGUACCUGGUCCUGAAUCUUAUUUUCAGGAAAGGGAAGCAGAAAGUAAAGAGAGAAGAACACAGAGUUUGUGGAUGCUAAGAAGAAAGUAAACAGGAUGCUGAGGCAUUGGUUCUCAAAAUGUGGCCACCAGACAGCAGCAUCAGCAUCACCUGGCACUUAGUAGAUGCACAGUAGACGCAAGUGCCGUGAGGACAGGGACCAUCUUAAGCCUAGGAGGCUGCAGAGAAGAUGGGAGGACAGGGGUGAGCACAUAGCUCAGUUCACACGUCACGGCACAGUUGCUGCUGCUCAUCGUCAGAGCCGGAAUACAGGAUCACUUCCCUGGCCGUGAGCCCCACUUCAGCUUGAAGCAACGUGAAACAGAAUAUCCUGUCACUGCCGACGGGCCGUGAAAUCCUUGUCUCCUCCAUGAGGUACAUUUAUUUCAGCUAUAAAAUGAUUAAUUUGUAUACAUGUGUAAAGAUAUAUAUAUAUAAUUAAAUAAUUAGGUUUCCUUGUAUUUCAUUAAAUUCACUAACAUUG